rnacentral:rRNA from 1 species
AUUGAACGCUGGCGGCAUGCCUUACACAUGCAAGUCGAACGGUAACAGGUCUUCGGAUGCUGACGAGUGGCGAACGGGUGAGUAAUACAUCGGAACGUGCCCGAGAGUGGGGGAUAACGAGGCGAAAGCUUUGCUAAUACCGCAUACGAUCUCAGGAUGAAAGCAGGGGACCGCAAGGCCUUGCGCUCACGGAGCGGCCGAUGGCAGAUUAGGUAGUUGGUGGGAUAAAAGCUUACCAAGCCGACGAUCUGUAGCUGGUCUGAGAGGACGACCAGCCACACUGGGACUGAGACACGGCCCAGACUCCUACGGGAGGCAGCAGUGGGGAAUUUUGGACAAUGGGCGAAAGCCUGAUCCAGCCAUGCCGCGUGCAGGAUGAAGGCCUUCGGGUUGUAAACUGCUUUUGUACGGAACGAAAGGACUCUGGUUAAUACCUGGGGUCCAUGACGGUACCGUAAGAAUAAGCACCGGCUAACUACGUGCCAGCCGCCGCAGUAAAAC